rnacentral:rRNA from 1 species
AUUGAACGCUGGCGGCAGGCCUAACACAUGCAAGUCGAGCGGAUGAAGGGAGCUUGCUCCCUGAUUCAGCGGCGGACGGGUGAGUAAUGCCUAGGAAUCUGCCUGGUAGUGGGGGAUAACGUCCGGAAAGGGGCGCUAAUACCGCAUACGUCCUACGGGAGAAAGUAGGGGAUCUUCGGACCUCGCGCUAUCAGAUGAGCCUAGGUCGGAUUAGCUAGUUGGUGAGGUAAGGGCCUACCAAGGCGACGAUCCGUAACUGGUCUGAGAGGAUGAUCAGUCACCCUGGAACUGAGACACGGUCCAGACUCCUACGGGAGGCAGCAGUGGGGACUAUUGGACAAUGGGCGAAAGCCUGAUCCAGCCAUGCCGCGUGUGUGAAGAAGGUCUUCGGAUUGUAAAGCACUUUAAGUUGGGAGGAAGGGCAGUUGGUUAAUACCUUGCAGUUUUGACGUUACCAACAGAAUAAGCACCGGCUAACUUCGUG